GUAUUAAUACAUAUCUGAGUUAAUUAAUAAGUAAAAAGUGAUUUCAUAUAAUACAGAAUAGAUUAUGUGGUUCCAGUAGUAACAGACAGACAAAGUGAGUUACAAAGCAAAG